rnacentral:lncRNA from 1 species
AGUAAAUUACAACACUUUAAUACCAAAUCAGAACUUAGUGUAUAAGAAGUAAUUUGAAAAAUUUUCUAAAAAUUUCGUGGUAUCCUUCUUUGUUACAUAUAAUCGUAUCUUUUACUAACAUCCAUAUAAUGAUAAUGUUCAAUACAAGGAUUGUUCCUGCAUUCUUUUUUUCGUUUAUAAGUAUCAAAAUUGAAUUGAACAUAGAUUGACUUGGAUAAAGGAGGAGGAUAACCCAAGAGAGGAUGUUGAAUCCUAUUGAAAUUGAAAGUUAUUGCUGCUAACGUUGGUGACGAGUGACUCCAAUCACUUUCAAUAAUUGAGUUAUAACUCUAAACAGGGUAAGUCAAAAAAAUUGGGGUGCCUUUUUUCGAUUUCCCAUUAUGUGUUGACCAUUCUUUCAAUCAAUUAAGGCCUUGAACGCAUGUUAAUAUUAAAUACUAAAAAGUAUCAAUGAAUUUAUGGAUUGCCUUGAAGAGUAAGGUACUGUUUAUUAUUUUAUAUGAAUUUU